UAGGGAAUCUUCRGCAAUGNGCGAAAGCCUGACCGAGCAACGCCGCGUGAGCGAUGAAGGCUUCGGGUCGUAAAGCUCUGUUGUUAGAGAAGAACAAGUACGAGAGUAACUGCUCGUACCUUGACGGUACCUAACCAGAAAGCCACGGCUAACUACGUGCCAGCAGCCGCGGUAAUACGUAGGUGGCAAGCGUUAUCCGGAAUUAUUGGGCGUAAAGCGCGYGCAKGCGGUCUCUUAAGUMUGAUGUGAAAGCCCACGGCUCAACCGUGGAGGGUCAUUGGAAACUGGGAGACUUGAGUGCAGGAGAGAAAAGUGGAAUUCCACGUGUAGCGGUGAAAUGCGUAGAGAUGUGGAGGAACACCAGUG
rnacentral:rRNA from 1 species